rnacentral:rRNA from 1 species
UGAGUGGCGGACGGGUGAGUAACGCGUGGGCAACCUGGCCUGUACAGGGGGAUAACACUUAGAAAUAGGUGCUAAUACCGCAUAACGGGAGAAGCCGCAUUGGCUUUUUCCUGAAAACUCCGGUGGUACAGGAUGGGCCCGCGUCUGAUUAGCCAGUUGGCAGGGUAACGGCCUACCAAAGCGACGAUCAGUAGCCGGCCUGAGAGGGCGGACGGCCACACUGGGACUGAGACACGGCCCAGACUCCUACGGGAGGCAGCAG